rnacentral:rRNA from 1 species
GAGUAACACGUGAGUAACCUGCCCCACAGACCGGGAUAGCCCAGGGAAACCUGGAUUAAUACCGGAUAUUCUCUUCGAACUUCAUGGUUCAUUGAGGAAAUGCCUUUGUGCUGUGGGAUGGACUCGCGGCUUAUCAGCUAGUUGGUGGGGUAACGGCCUACCAAGGCAUCGACGAGUAGCUGGUCUGAGAGGACGAUCAGCCACACUGGGACUGAGACACGGCCCAGACUCCUACGGGAGGCAGCAGCAGGGAAUCUUGCACAAUGGGCGAAAGCCUGAUGCAGCAACGCCGCGUGUGGGAUGAAUGCCUUCGGGUUGUAAACCACUUUCAGGAGGGAAGAAAUUGACGGUACCUCCAAAAGAAGCCCCGGCCAACUACGUGCCAGCAGCCGCGGUAAUACGUAGGGGGCAAGCGUUAUCCGGAAUCAUUGGGCGUAAAGAGCUCGUAGGCGGUUCAGCAAGUCGGCUGUGAAAGUCCAAGGCUUAACCUUGGAAAUGCAGUCGAUACUGCUGUGACUAGAGUCUGGUAGAGGAGAAUGGAAUUCCCGGUGUAGCGGUGGAAUGCGCAGAUAUCGGGAGGAACACCAGUAGCGAAGGCGGUUCUCUGGGCCUCGACUGACGCUGAGGAGCGAAAGCAUGGGUAGCAAACAGGAUUAGAUACCCUGGUAGUCCAUGCCGUAAACGUUGGAUACUAGGUGUGGCGUCCC